rnacentral:rRNA from 1 species
GGUAUGUACUGGUCUCACUGAUUCCUCCCUCUUGACGAACUGUAAUGUCAUUAAUUUGGUGUUGCGGGAAAUCAGGACUGUUACUUUGAAAAAAUUAGAGUGUUUAAAGCAGGCUAAGGCUUGAAUACAUUAGCAUGGAAUAAUGAAAUAGGACGUUUGAUCCUAUUUUGUUGGUUUCUAGGAUUGACGUAAUGAUUAAUAGGGAUAGUUGGGGGCAUUAGUAUUCAAUUGUCAGAGGUGAAAUUCUUGGAUUUAUUGAAGACUAACUACUGCGAAAGCAUUUGCCAAGGAUGUUUUCAUUAAUCAAGAACGAAAGUUAGGGGAUCGAAGACGAUCAGAUACCGUCGUAGUCUUAACCAUAAACUAUGCCGACUAGGGAUCGGAUGAUGUUAAUUUUUUAAUGACUCAUUCGGCGCCUUACG